rnacentral:rRNA from 1 species
AUGGCGACCGGCGCACGGGUGAGUAACACGUAUCCAACCUGCCUCAUACUCGGGGAUAGCCUUUCGAAAGAAAGAUUAAUACCCGAUGUUAUAGUCCUACCGCAUGAUGGGAUUAUUAAAGAAUUUCGGUCAUCGAUGGGGAUGCGUUCCAUUAGCUUGUUGGCGGGGUAACGGCCCACCAAGGCAUCGAUGGAUAGGGGUUCUGAGAGGAAGGUCCCCCACAUUGGAACUGAGACACGGUCCAAACUCCUACGGAAGGCAGCAG